UUGUGGUAGCCCACAAAAUAUUGGGACAUACAAAAAAAGUAGAGUAGCUGUUGACAUUAUAGUUGCGCAGGCACUUUGUUGACUCUAGAGAACCUCGGGCCAAUCGCAUAUCCUUGUGGCGGCAACUUUGCAUGCGGAUGUCAUCCAUAUCAACUGUCGAUGCCAGUACGGGUAACGGAGAAUCAGGGUUCCAUUCCGUACAAGAACCCUGAGAAACGGCUACUACAUGCAAGGAAGGCAGCAGGCGCGCAAAUGACCCACUCCCGACGCGGGAAGGUAGUGACGA